CUUGAAUUUAUUUCUCCUAACUAAAAUUUUGUAUCCUUUGGCCAAAAUUUCCCCAAUCCUUCCCCAACUGAAGACCUAUUCUACUCUCAGCUGUUAUGAGUUUGAAUUUUAUAGAUUCCACAUAUAAACAAGAUCAUGCAAUAUCUGUCUUUCUGUGCCUGGCUUUUUUCAUUUAAAUGUCCUUCAUGUUCUCACAAAUGAUAAGAUUUCAUCCUUUUCUCAUCCUAUUUUAUGGAUGAAUAGUAUUCCAUUAUGUCUGUGUGCAUAUGUGUAUAUCACAUUUUUUAAUCCAUGUAUUUGUUGAUGGACACUAAGAAUGAUUCCACAUUUUUUCUCUUAUAAAUAAUUAUGCAGUGAACAUGGGGAUAGAGGUGUCUCUUCAAUACUGAUUUCACUUCUGUUGGAGAUAUGGUUCGUAGUGAGAUUGCUGGGUAACAUGGUGGUUCUGUUUCUAAUUUUUUAGGAAACUCCAUGCUGUUUUAUGUAAUGGCUAUACAUAUUUACAUUCCCCCUAACAGCAUGCAAGUGUUCCCUCUUCUUUAAACUUGUUAUAUUUUGUCUUUUAGAUAACAGCCAUUCUAACAGAUAUUUCAUUGUGGUUUAAUUAGCUCUUCCCUGAAUAAUUAGUGAUGUUGAACAUUUUCUCAUGUAUCUGAUGGCUGUUGAUGUGUCUUUUGAGAAAUAUCUAUUUAGGUGCUUUUCCCAUUUAAAAAUUGAUUUAUUUGUUUUAUUGUUAUUCAGAUGUUUGAAUUUCUUACAUAUUUUGGAUAUUUGCCCCUUACGAAAAGGAUGCUUGUAAAUGUUUUCUCCCAUAAUGUCAGUUGUCUCUUCACUAUUGUCUCUUGUACUGAGUAGAAGCUGUUUAUAUAUUCCCAUUUGUCAGUUUUUGUUUUUGUUGCUUGAGAUUUCAG
rnacentral:lncRNA from 1 species